rnacentral:rRNA from 1 species
UGGGGGAAACCCUGAUGCAGCGACGCCGCGUGAGCGAAGAAGUAUUUCGGUAUGUAAAGCUCUAUCAGCAGGGAAGAAAAUGACGGUACCUGACUAAGAAGCCCCGGCUAACUACGUGCC